AAAAUCCAAAACCAAAAAGUCAGAAUUUAUAACUUGCAAAUGGGUGUUGGCAGAGACCAUUAAAAUCCUCAAAAUCCAGCGACCAAAACCUGAAUUAUUUGCCUCCUUAAUGUCACUACAAAAUCAUCCAACUCACCGCCGAUUUAGUCGUGUCAUUCAUUGUACGAACAAUCAAUCAACUCAGGAAUCUUAGGCGAAAGCACUGCCAUAGCAUCGCCGAGAGCUUCGUCUCAAUUCUUCUUCUUAAGCAAUCAAGAGCCUUGUUGAUCCAACUAUUCAGCAAUCAAGACCCAUACUUCUUUUGCUCUUUUCAAAUAGAGAAUGACCACGGAAUGGCUGUGACAGCCGUGGAGUUGCAGGUCAUCGUGGACAUCAUUUUGCAACAAUUCUUUGACAUCGCGGCUGCCCAUGAUUGUUUAUAGGGUUUGGGAUUAUUGCUUGAAAUUCUUGUUUUGAUUGUUUAAUUGAGCUACUGUUACUAGAAAAUUAGGAAAUGUUGUAAUAUGACCAGCACAAGAAGCAACAACGACGAGAAAUAUUAGCAUCGCACAGCAGCAAUGACGGCAAGUAGUGAGCAGCAGCAACGGCGGUAGGCAACGAGUAGCAGCAACGGUGACAGCAACAGUAACGACAGCAAGUAGUAACAGCGAUGUCUUGGAAGGUUUUUUUUUUUUUUUGGGUAAAGGGUAUGUUAGUAAUCAAC
rnacentral:lncRNA from 1 species